CUCUAGCAUUUGCAGUAGUAUUUCCAUUGUGGCAACACUUGUAGCUGAUGAACACUUCCAUUGUGCGGUGACACUCUGGGCACUCAAUGGUGUCUGGAAUUUUCCCAUUAAUGUUAGGAAUCUGAAGGUGGGAGCAAAUGUGAAGGCUGCUAGAAACCUUGUCAAGAUACUCUUUGAAGGCGAACUCAAAUCCCUUCUUGAUCACCAACUCCUUCCAUUUCUCAAACUCGGCCACGGUCUUCAAAACCGUGGUUCCGUGGCCAACAGCCACCACAAAUGGGCCCUUAAUAAGAAGGGCCCACCCGGUUUCGCCCUUGUAAGAGAGCAA
rnacentral:lncRNA from 1 species